UUUUUUUUUUUUUUUUUUUUUAGAGACAGGGUUUCACCAUGUUGGCCAGGCUGGUCUUGAAGUCUGGACCUCAAGCAAUUCACCUGCCUCGGCCUCCCAAAGUGCUGGGAUUACAGGCCUGAGCCACCAUGCCCGGUCUAUUCUUACGUUUUAUACACCUCUGGAAGAGAUCGAGCCAGCCAGAGUGUUUCUCAGGUGAAGUCUUAUCAAGCUCCAGUGAAACACAGUCAAGUCUUGAUGGCUGGGGGUGGCCUGAUCAGCAUCUCUUAGAAGUGCCUGGCGCUGGGGUGGCUGCAGCAUGAGAACCCCCACAGCAGUUCCUUGUCGCUGUCCUCAGCACCCAGGAGGGAGAUCCUGAGUCUGCGGGCUCCAGCCUCCCCUUAUGGCCCCCCAGUCCUCUCCAGGCUCCUGCUGCCUGGAACAGCCCUGCCCUAAUGGCUGAGGUCCCAGGAGCUCUCCCUGGCCGCUGAGCUACAGUAUGUGGCUGCUGCUGUGUGCCCUUUUAUUUGUGGACAGCUGGGAGGGAGACGCCUCCCCUCCCAGGUCUCCACCUUUUGUAUUAGUUAAUGCCGCUAGAAUCCCAGGAGUCAGCCCAUGGACACUCUGCUCUUCCGAGGGGCUCCUUCCAGACAAGGAUGCUCCUCAGAAUGGAGAGGGGGGAUCUUGCAGCCUGAAGGACUUUUGGGGUGCAUUCCACUCCUCUUUUGACAUGUGGGGAAACUGAGGCUCCAGGGAGACAGACUCCUAGCCAGGCAGAGGCAGCACCUGGAGCACGCAGGUGGGUCUGCGGACCUGCCCUUGGGCAUCUCUGCCUGAUGCCAUGUAGUCUGCCAGAUGAGCUCCUCACCUGCCCCCCAAGGCACCCAUCCAACUACCUCCCUGUCCAGGGGUCGGGACACCUCUGGUUGGCUUUGACAUUGAGGUGGCGAUCACAGUGAGGCCUUCGCUGCCCUGGGAAGCUGUGACCGUGAUAAUGCCUGAGUCCUCAAAGCCCCUCAUGCUGUUCUUCCCAGACUGCACGCCGUCACCAUGUGGGGAACCAGCCGGCAGGCCCCACGCCCCCUGCCUUCAGCCCCGGGGCUGCACAGCUGCUGGCUGGCCGAGCCCACCUCACACUUGAUGUUCCCCCCUCUCCACAUCCCUUCCCUUCGGGGUUUGGUUCUUCCUAGACUUGGGGGUUUUCUUGAUGCAGAUGCGGUGCCUGAUAUUCACUAUGCUGCCAGCUCGGCCCUGGGAGGAAUUUAUUUGAAGGUUAAAUCAGUCACUGAGCCUUAAUUAGUUCCCAAAAUAUAAAUGUGCAUUUGGAUCCGCUAACUAGGUGAAGAACCGAGGUGGAGAAGCAGCCUCACUCAGCCGCCUGGUGAGUGCUUCCUUUUCCAGGGCGGCCUGGCAGCUUUACCGGGGACACCUUGAUCUAAAAAGGGACCUCCCCUUCAACCCGCCUUCACUUCCAGCCUCCCGGAGGUACUCAAGCCUUGCAAAACUUGGAUUCUUAUAUUGAAAUAAACCCCCUCCAAGGCUGUGGUCCUUCCCUGAUGGGCUGUAAGGAAGUCCAGGUCUGGGAGCCCAGUGGCCCGGGAAGGCUGCACCGCCUGUCUGCUCAGGACUUUUUGGCUUACGUAGUCAGUGGUCCCAGC
ensembl:lncRNA